GAUGAACGCUGGCGGCGUGCCUAAUACAUGCAAGUCGAGCGAACGGACGAGAAGCUUGCUUCUCUGAUGUUAGCGGCGGACGGGUGAGUAACACGUGGAUAACCUACCUAUAAGACUGGGAUAACUUCGGGAAACCGGAGCUAAUACCGGAUAAUAUUUUGAACCGCAUGGUUCAAAAGUGAAAGACGGUCUUGCUGUCACUUAUAGAUGGAUCCGCGCUGCAUUAGCUAGUUGGUAAGGUAACGGCUUACCAAGGCAACGAUGCAUAGCCGACCUGAGAGGGUGAUCGGCCACACUGGAACUGAGACACGGUCCAGACUCCUACGGGAGGCAGCAGUAGGGAAUCUUCCGCAAUGGGCGAAAGCCUGACGGAGCAACGCCGCGUGAGUGAUGAAGGUCUUCGGAUCGCAAAACUCUGUUAUUAGGGAAGAACAUAUGUGUAAGUAACCGUGCACAUCUUGACGGUACCUAAUCAGAAAGCCACGGCUAACUACGUGCCAGCAGCCGCGGUAAUACGUAGGUGGCAAGCGUUAUCCGGAAUUAUUGGGCGUAAAGCGCGCGUAGGCGGUUUUUUAGUCUGAUGUGAAAGCCCACGGCUCAACCGUGGAGGGUCAUUGGAAACUGGAAAACUUGAGUGCAGAAGAGGAAAGUGGAAUUCCAUGUGUAGCGGUGAAAUGCGCAGAGAUAUGGAGGAACACCAGUGGCGAAGGCGACUUUCUGGUCUGUAACUGACGCUGAUGUGCGAAAGCGUGGGGAUCAAACAGGAUUAGAUACCCUGGUAGUCCACGCCGUAAACGAUGAGUGCUAAGUGUUAGGGGGUUUCCGCCCCUUAGUGCUGCAGCUAACGCAUUAAGCACUCCGCCUGGGGAGUACGACCGCAAGGUUGAAACUCAAAGGAAUUGACGGGGACCCGCACAAGCGGUGGAGCAUGUGGUUUAAUUCGAAGCAACGCGAAGAACCUUACCAAAUCUUGACAUCCUUUGACAACUCUAGAGAUAGAGCCUUCCCCUUCGGGGGACAAAGUGACAGGUGGUGCAUGGUUGUCGUCAGCUCGUGUCGUGAGAUGUUGGGUUAAGUCCCGCAACGAGCGCAACCCUUAAGCUUAGUUGCCAUCAUUAAGUUGGGCACUCUAAGUUGACUGCCGGUGACAAACCGGAGGAAGGUGGGGAUGACGUCAAAUCAUCAUGCCCCUUAUGAUUUGGGCUACACACGUGCUACAAUGGACAAUACAAAGGGCAGCGAAACCGCGAGGUCAAGCAAAUCCCAUAAAGUUGUUCUCAGUUCGGAUUGUAGUCUGCAACUCGACUACAUGAAGCUGGAAUCGCUAGUAAUCGUAGAUCAGCAUGCUACGGUGAAUACGUUCCCGGGUCU
rnacentral:rRNA from 1 species